ensembl:ncRNA ZK381.40 ncRNA
GUUGUUUUCUGUUUGAAGAAUGAUGAUGAUGGGAAGAGAUGGGGUCUUAGUCCUUGUGGUUCCAUUCUUUUUGGGUAAUCUUUUCUCUUUUU